ensembl:lncRNA
GUCAAAAGUGAAAAGUUUAAAGUUUAAAGUCUAUAAUCCAAACCUCCAAACGGAUUAAUUAGAAUAUCCAGACGAUCUGAUGAUCUGUAUGAAGGUCCUUUAGACACUCUCUAACUAAGCGAGUUGUUGUUAGCUUAGGACCAUCGGGUGGUCCAUCUCUGGAGCUCACCGCGGCCGGCGUGCAGGCCUGAACCAUCGCUCUCUGACAGCACGCUGCCCGACACAGAGACAACAAACCCGCUGGGCCCAUCAGGACACACUGGGGUCUUUGUUCAGGUCCGGUUUCCUCUUAUCUCGUUGGAUAUCUCGUCAGACAGGCGUGGGAGGGUGGGAGAGACGCAGCCUUCGAGGAUGUGAAGGAAGUGGUGGCCAAUGGAGAGUGGAAGAAGAAGAACGGGCUGGUUCACAGGGAAAGGCCAGUGGGAGCAGGAGGCCC